rnacentral:rRNA from 1 species
UACGAAGGGGGCUAGCGUUGCUCGGAAUCACUGGGCGUAAAGCGCACGUAGGCGGAUCUUUAAGUCAGGGGUGAAAUCCUGGAGCUCAACUCCAGAACUGCCUUUGAUACUGGAGAUCUCGAGUCCGGAAGAGGUGAGUGGAACUCCGAGUGUAGAGGUGAAAUUCGUAGAUAUUCGGAAGAACACCAGUGGCGAAGGCGGCUCACUGGUCCGGUACCGACGCUGAGGUGCGAAAGCGUGGGGAGCAAACAGG